rnacentral:rRNA from 1 species
UGAGGAAUAUUGCGCAAUGGAGGAAACUCUGACGCAGCGACGCCGCGUGAAGGAUGAAGGCCCUCUGGGUUGUAAACUUCUGUAGAGAGGGAAGAAUUUUCGCCUUCGGCGAAUUGACGGUACCUCUAAAGUAAGGGUCGGCUAACUACGUGCCAGCAGCCGCGGUAAUACGUAGGACCCAAGCGUUGUCCGGAUUUACUGGGUGUAAAGGGAGCGCAGGCGGAUUAUUAAGUCGAUUGUGAAAUCUUGCGGCUCAACCGCAAAACAGCAGUCGAUACUGUUAAUCUUGAGUAUGGAAGAGAGUGGCGGAAUUCAUGGUGUAGCAGUGAAAUGCGUAGAUAUCAUGAAGAACACCGGUUGCGAAGGCGGCCACUUAGUCCAUUACUGACGCUCAUGCUCGAAAGCGUGGGGAUCAAACAGG